UGUGACGUCGCCGUAUAAGAGUGAUGUGUAUCAGGUGAAGCGUUCAAGCGUAAAAGAAUGUGGUGCAGAGGUACACAAAGCCGGGCUCUGUGUGGCAAAGUGCGAUCGGCCGUGGCUCGAGGAACCCUACAGCACAUUCCACGCGAGACUGUAAAACGUCGCUGCAGGUAUGACGCAGGGAUUUUGCUGUUGAUCAUCACUCUAGCUCAAUGUUGCCUGCGUUUGCCUGUCCAUUUGCUUGCCUUGCCUUGUCCGUCUGACUCUGCCUGGACAUCGUGUCGUGUUGUGUACAUUGCUACCAGCACAACAACAUUAUCCAUCAGUACAUUAUUUACCAGUAUUUGUGAUGACAUUUAUAGCUGGAUUUUUGUGUUCCCUUUUGGAAUAUUUCACACCUCUAUCUGUGAAGUUGGAGCAAGUUGGAUUUUUAAAAUAACAUUUACAAGAAAUCGGCUAUCAAUGAAAGAUGGAUAAUUAGACCAGACACGGAAAAUUUUAAGACUGGAUACUGCUGUGAAAGCUGAAGAAGUAAUUCUUGCACUAACGGACUGAACUUGCUCACCCCCAGAUCUACCACUGGUACAUGUCAGUGAUGUACGCCUUUGUGCCAGACAUGAAUAAAAAACCCAGUUAUUUGCAGAGCAAGUUUAUCAACAAAUUACAGAGACUACCUGCUUUUCCAGACAGGAGAGAAGUUAAAACAAAGGUUGCACAAAAUUUAGGAGUGCAGUGGCAUUUCUAUUGUGGUACAUGUUCAAGAUGGAGGCAUUAUAUUCACUAUUGGAAAUACCAAAUUGUGUGUGUGGUUAUUAAGGUUGCAUAUGCAAGGGAUAUCAUACUGUGGACAUACCAGUGAAAAGUCUGAUCUCUUGUUGACAGAAGAGAUAUCAUUGUUAGGAUUUUGACAAAACAUCACGUUAUUG